rnacentral:rRNA from 1 species
GACGAACGCUGGCGGCGUGCUUAACACAUGCAAGUCGAACGAAGAGCGACGGAAGCUUGCUUCUAUCAAUCUUAGUGGCGAACGGGUGAGUAACGCGUAAUCAACCUGCCCUUCAGAGGGGGACAACAGUUGGAAACGACUGCUAAUACCGCAUACGAUCUAAUCUCGGCAUCGAGGAUGGAUGAAAGGUGGCCUCUACAUGUAAGCUAUCACUGAAGGAGGGGAUUGCGUCUGAUUAGCUAGUUGGAGGGGUAACGGCCCACCAAGGCGAUGAUCAGUAGCCGGUCUGAGAGGAUGAACGGCCACAUUGGGACUGAGACACGGCCCAGACUCCUAUGGGAGGCAGCAGUGGGGAAUCUUCCGCAAUGGACGAAAGUCUGACGGAGCAACGCCGCGUGAGUGAUGACGGCCUUCGGGUUGUAAAGCUCUGUUAAUCGGGACGAAAGGCCUUCUUGCGAAUAGUGAGAAGGAUUGACGGUACCGGAAUAGAAAGCCACGGCUAACUACGUG